rnacentral:misc_RNA from 1 species
GAACGCAUCUUGCGCUCCUUGGUAUUCUGAGGAGCAUGCCUGUUUGAGUGUCAUUAAUAUCUCAACCAUACUCAUGUUGGAGGGUAUGGCUUGGACGUGGGGGUUACAGGCCCUUAUUUGUGGUCUGCUCCCCUGAAAUACAUGAGUGGCAAAGCCCCUCCAUUAGGUGUGAUACUUAUCUGCAUCUAUGGGGAUCUGCUGGAUCAUAUGUUGUUGUUGUUGUUCUUGACCUCAAAUCAGGUAGGACCACCCGCUGAACUUA